rnacentral:lncRNA from 1 species
UCGACCAUGACUGCUCCGAUCCGGUAGCCUCAUCGUGCGUAUAAAGGUUGGUCGCGCUGCACGCCCGCGACCCUAUUUCAAUGCCUAGACAACUAUGGAUUCGUCCUCCCAUCGUGAGAGAGCUUGUGGGAGCCAUGGGAGAUCGGACCGCGCUGCCGGGGAAGCGUGGAAGGCCAAAUUUGUUGCUCCGAUCGUCGUGAGUCCCCUCUUGAGUCUACCUCUGUUCAUUCUUUUCCGUUCGCGCCUAGAAUUACUCAACAAUAGUUGUUUUGCCGCCGGCAAUCGCUCGUCGGAGCAGAGCCUCCGCCACGGUGCGAUGACCUACGCGGGCACGGGACCCUAAGCCUCUAAUGCCGGCGUGUGCUCAGCUAGGUGAUUCGGGGUGCUCCAAGCAUUGUGUAGCAUCAUCGGAAUUAGGUAGUUGGGCGCUCGGGCGCUGGUUAGUAGUUCGCCGGCGGGCGCCCACCGCGCAUGGAUCUCGCGCCGCCGUCACAGUGGAAGGGAUUAGGGUGAGGGGCAUGCACGUUGGAUCGGACGCCUGCGGCUGCGAUUAGAUCUGGCGUACCGAUUCGGGCCAGGUAGAUCGGAGCGUUGGAAUUAGAUCGGAGGGCGCAGAAUCAAUCUCGGUAUGAAGCGUUGCGGUCCGUUGAUCGCAGAUCGUAGGGCUAGUGCUGCGUACCGGUUCAGGAUGAAUCUGGAUCUAAUCUGCACCGUCCACUUGUGAUCGUGCGGCCCAGAUCCAUAGAUACCCAUUCAGCCUCGACAAUUUUAUUAAAGAACCCCUGGGUUUAUUGAGAUUCAACCCGCAGUCCUAUUAGUGGAACUCUGAGUCUUAGUGUUAUUUGCGCAGUGAACCCUAGCUUUUGUUUAAAUCACGUGCGCAGACCAGAAGUCAGUAAAAAGGAAUAAAUGAUUAAGGAAAUUGAUUUUUAGUAUGAAAUUAAUUGCAGAAACUUGUAAAAUUCCUAGAAAAUUCAAAUUAAGUCCAAAUUAAUUCGUUCUAGUUUCUAUAAUUUUGUAAAAUUAUUGUUUAUCCAAUAGUGCCAUUGUUUUGACAUGAAAGUCACAUUAAAUAUUAUAUCCUAAUUAAUCUUGUAUCAAACACAUAAAAUCUUUGGAAAUUCAUAACUUAAAAUCUAUAACUCCAAAAUUAAUGAUUCUUGUUCCUAUGUAUUAUUUUAAUAUGUAGAUUAUUAAUAUGUAUUUUGUUUAUAUGUUUGGUGUGAUGUUAAUUUCUCCUUUAUACUAUGCUUGUUUGCAUUGUGGCGAGUAGAAAAGCCAGUGGCUGAGGAUCCCGGUGUUCAGCAGGUAGAAGUUGCUGAGCAGGAGCUCAUUGAAGGCUAGUUGUGCCCUUGACCAUUUUUUACCCAAUAAUGUUCUUUAAUAUCACUUAUUAAUGCAUAGGUUUAAUUUUGAUAGGACCCAAUAGGUCACCCUAGAUUGGUGUAACACCCUAAAAUUAUCAAUUGAAACUCAGUUUGAAUUAUUAAUUUCUAAUAUAAAGAAUAAAUAUUUACAUUUUCAAAUAAUGAUGGUGAUAAAAAUAAAUUUAACAAUUUCUUGAUUAGAUAUAAUUUUGCCAAUUGUUUGAUGCAUUCAUUAUCAGAGAAUAAAUUUUUCGUUUGUUUGUUAAUACAUUGCGAAGAUUUUAUUCUCAUUUACCAGGCCCAAUUAGAUUAGAAUUUUUGCCUAAAACUAUUUAUCCUUUUGGGCAUUUUUAUUUAUAAACUAUCAUUUCCAAAUCUAUUAUAAUAUAUAUAUAUAUUCAUGUACUAAAAAUAAUUAAAUAAAAAAAUAUAACACAUGCAUGUCAUACCAAAAAAAUUCUUGUAAUAAAAAAAGAGAAAACUCACACAACUCACGCACACACAGGCUAGUGCAUGCUCAGCGUACUUACCGGUCAUGAUCAGCCCGCGCUUCCUCUCCCCUUUCAUUGACGUGUGGGUCCCCUAGCAUAUACCUUCUUCCUCCCCGGUGUUUCUCUCAUAGUCAUAGGCAGGACCAGAAAAGCAAGCCGCUGCCGCCAGCCACCGCUACACGACGCGCACCCAGCUGAUGCUCGCUCAUGGCAGCGCGGUAGUAGCCCAACAGUAAGACGACGCGUUCACGACCGUCCUCUGCAGCGACGAUUCUCCUCCUACUGGCGGCAAUCGUUCCAGCGCCCUGCAUUUCUUGAGUCAUUCCUUCCGUCAUUAAUCGCCAUCACAGUUUCAGUUUCCUCAUUAAAUUCAAGAGAGCGUCAAUUGUCAUCAAAUCCGCUUUAAUCCAGCUAAUCUCCUCUCCUCCAGUCUCUAUAAAACCCAACAACCCCUUUCCCUCGCCAACAACAGAAAUAUCACUUCCUGUUCGUCUUCCCAUUACGCCAUCCUCUGCUAGUGCGAACCCAGUCGCGCGUCUACUUGCUUCGUUCAUCGGCGAUUGUUCCAAGAGGCACGCUCGCCCUUCUUCUCCAUUUCCGUGCCCUGGCGCCCACCGUCCAUACCUCCAUGCUGUCCCUGCGCCGUGUCAUCCUUCCUAGUACCAAGAUUUGGGUGUAGCUGCACCAUCGACUCCAGCUCGCCAGAGUUCGUUAUUGCUCGCCUCUACUCGCACCUCUCCACAAGUGCUCAGUCCCUACCGUGCUGAAGAUCGAUGACGAGCAACCAUCUUGCCAUCCUCGCUGUUCAUCAGCACUGCGUCUUGCUCGCACGCCACGCACUGCGUCCUCUGCCCUCGUGUCGAAGCCUUUCACACCGGAGUUCUUCAUGUCAUUGUUGUCGUGCUGCUCUCGCCUCUACCACCAUCGCACUCGGUUGCUGCUGUCGCACCUACACACUGCAUCGACGAGCCCCACCUCGACGUCCAUCCCGAAGUCUAGAGUGCCUCGCCGGUGAACUGCAGUCGAGCUGCUAGUUGUGCCGACGACUGCGUCGUCGACUCCCUCGCGCUGUGCGUUGCCACCCUGCCGCCAGAUGCAUCAUUCCCUUGCUGGUGUUGCUUCUCGCUCAGCUUGUCGUCUAUUGAAGGUAGAAGAUAUGACUUUCCUAUGAUCUAGCCUUUCAUGUUGUUUAGAUACAAAUAAAUGGAUUCUUGCAUUAUUUGCUACAUAAGUUCAUGUGGAAUAUUAGUGUUAGCAACAAUUUACAUAUUUUCGUAAUUUAAUUUAAAUUAUGGUUGCUUUGUAUAUAGUUUUCUAAAUAAGAAAUUAAAAAGAAUUAUACCUUUAUGUUUCUUGUAACCAAAAAUAUGAGAUUGUUAUUUAUAGUGUUAUCUAUACACAAAAAUGUAAAUAUACCGGCUACACCUAGUUUAGCUUUAUUUAUGUGUAGGUACUUGUUACAAUUUUUAUUAUAAAAUGUAAAUUUAGAACCCGACAAUUCACAUAUUUUCAUAGUUCAAUUUGAAUUAUGGUUGUUAUACAAGAAGUAUUAAAAUGGCCUUUUCAAUGAAUAUCAUGUUUUCAUGUUCAUUAUAGAUGUUUAAGUAUAGCCGUAUUAAAUAGAAACUUAAAAGAAUAUGUAGACAUAUAUUUCUUAAUAAAACUAGAAAAAUAAACAUAUGUCCAAUUAAUAAAGUAUUUACAAUUUCUUAAUUAAAAGAUAACAAGGGUCAUUGCUUUUAUAAACUAAAAUAAUAGUUUACUAGGUGGGUGCCCGUGCGAUGCCACGGAACAUAAAUUGCGAGCUUCUAACGGACUUAGAGCCCUGGCAGAGCUCUAGGUACAUGAUCGUGCGUUGCCACGAGACAAGAAAAAUGCCCGUGCAUCGUGAUAUAAUACCCGUGUAUUGUGACGACGACAUAAUUACUCACUUCAAGUGGCAUAGAGGAGCAUCUAGGGCUAAUGGAUCCAAACAAGUUGUUAUCCAAGCAAACAUUAUGCAAACAUAGGCAGCCAUUCCCCAAACUCACGCCAGGCAGAGAAUCAACUAACAUGCUCACAUAAUUUUUACAGUCACCAAAAACAAAAUCAUUUCAAAAAAAAUACAUUCAACAUGAACCCAACAAAAUCGCAAAAUCAUUGCCACGAGAGUUAAAAAUUAGUAUAAACCAUAGAUACGGAACGACAAAUAUCACUAUGAUAUACAAAAUCCGUGUGAUAAAAUAUUACUGUACCACUAAUAUCACUAUGAUAUAUAAAAUCCGUGUGAUACGGAACGACAUCUUUAAUUUUACGCUCUCAAAUUCCAAAUUAUUUUUUCGAAAGGACGGCAAGAGGAUUGCUGAAUAUAUUAAUAGAAGGAGAAAAACCAAAUACAGGGACUACUGGCCAGCAAGGGACCAACUACAGCCUAUUCAAGAAAAAAUUAGAUAUAUGAUCUCCUCAAACAUCGGGGAGGUCGCGUCCAUAUUCCUGACAUCGGCUUUGGGUAUUCCAGAAGGUCUCAUCCCAGUGCAACUACUAUGGGUCAAUCUAGUUACAGAUGGCCCUCCAGCGACUGCUUUGGGGUUCAACCCGCUAGAUAAAGAUAUCAUGAAGAAACCCUCCUCGAAGAAGUGAUGACUCGUUGAUCACUCCUUGGAUCUUGUUUCGCUAUAUGGUUAUUGGCCUUUAUGUUGGGGUUGCAACAGUGGGAAUCUUCAUCAUCUGGUACACGCAUGACAGCUUCAUGGGAAUUGACCUGGCUAGUGAUGGUCAUACACUUGUGUCGUACUCCCAGCUCUCAAACUGGGACCAGUGCUCCUCAUGGGAGGGCUUCAAGGUGUCGCCAUUCACCGCAGGAGCGAGGACAUUCAGCUUCGAUGCAAAUCCAUGCGAUUACUUCCAGGGUGGCAAGAUUAAAGCAACGACCCUCUCUCUGUCAGUCUUGGUGGCCAUUGAGAUGUUCAAGUUCCAAAUUAUCAAAGUGCACUUUCUUCAAAGCAACAAUCUUCAAGAUCACGGGCUCUGUAAACAUUACUAUAUGUACCCUGACCAAUAUGAAUAAACCAAAGAAUAAUUCUUGAAAACAAUUUCCAAGGCAAUAAAAUUUACAUGUGGCAAUCCUCACAGUGAGUUAUUUCCAUCGGAAGUACCCCUCAGGCCCUCACAACACUCGUGAACACAUAUGAGCACAUAAUCUCAAUAAUUCAGUCCAAACCAAAUUCUAGAAAUGGUUUGAAGUAUAUCAGCCAAAUAACAGUUCUCGUCUUUCACAGUUCAAUGUCUAGACUUUAAGUAUGAAUCCAGAACAGAGCAAACAGAACAAUACUAUUUGUUAUAUUGUCGCCUUAUUUCCAGAAAUUCAGCAAAAUCUUAGCAGAAAGGAAUCCUUUUGUAUCUCGAACUUCAAGUGCUUCCAGUACUGAAUUACUCUAGAAUGCCAAAUCUCCUGGAAACAAUAUUUCAAGGUCAAAUAGAUCGCCACCAGGAAGUUAUGUUUGCCCAUAUUGCAAAACGCUGAUGUUUCAUACUAAAUUACUAACUCACAUUGUCCUCUGAAAAAUUGUUCGAACUGAUUCCAAGCUGAAGCCUGUGUCUGAAGCUGAUAUUAAAUCUACUGUUGACAUUUCACCACAUGAGAAAACAGAAGACGUCGAAUACUACAUUACAUUUGAGGAUUAGGACAACGCCGGUGCAGAGUUAUUAGCUACAGUUAGGAUCAAAACAAGAGAAACGGCUGCUACGACAGAUCUUGCACCGAGUGAUUCCAGAGCUUUUUCCUCACGAUCAAGACUCUUUCGUCACCUGUCGUGAGCGCAUCUUUCUUAGGCCUCAUCUCAAACGUCCAGUCGUCCCACCUUAGCGCUGGUAAAAGUUUCUUGAUGUAGGUAACGACAUCAACUUUGUCUCUGAUGAUGGCAUAACCAUAAGUCCUUAGGAUGCGGUCCAUCUCGAUCAGAAGAUCCUCCAAGCUACAUCCCUGCUUCUCUAUCUCAGAAAACAGGAGCCAGGCAUGAAGGAGGUCGUAGGUGCCCGGGUAUGUCGAGAAUGAUUCACACCUUCAGUUAAACAGGUCAUAAAUAAGGAAAAUUAGCAUCAGCUAGCCCUGUGUAACGGGAAGUAAGGCAGACACAGACACACAGGACAAUGCACAAGAAAUUUCUUCAGUAGUGAAGAGGUUAGAAAUGAAAAGAAUGGUCUUAAAAACUGGAAAGAAGCAACAGAAUGGGGGCACCUAUAUCAGAUAUGUUGACAGGACUCAUUUUUUUUUGCGAGGACCCAUGUUUCUCGGUUUUGUUUAAUUAUAAUAACAAUAACAACGCAGUUAAUCUUAUAAUGGGCAGAAGUAUUGGCCUCAAGGCUCAAACACUACAUCCAUAUUCCAAAAUAUGACAGCCAAACUACAUCAAUUUCUGAAAACCAUGUUUACACGCGGUUGCAUCUUAGAAAUCAAACAAGAUAAUAUCACCCCCUUCCACACGAGUUAAGAAUUUUAUAUGGACAACCAUGAGAAAACAAUUUGUGAAAUUAUUUAUGGAUAAUUAAUUGCAGACUAUAGUCACAAUGAAACUCUUAUCUGUAUAGCACAAGACAAAACAAAUGUAAUAGUUCUAAUUUCUAGGGAUGCAAAUUCCACCUUGAAACAGUAAAAAAAAUAGAUGGGAAGUAUGUCAAAAAAAACCUUACCAGUCAUGGGUAGUCCCCAUUAAACCACGAUCAUAUAUAAUUUUUAGCUUUCCAGAUUCCGUGAAAGGAACUACAUUCAUAACCCAGACAUUCUUUUUCUUCAGAGAUGCUGCAAAUCCACCAAGGCUAGCACUCAUAUCCAUAACGUAUCGAAAGGAAUCCUUUUGUAUCUCGAACUUCAAGUGCUUCCAGUACUGAAUUACUCUAGAAUGCCAAAUCUCCUGCAAACAAUAUUUCAAGGUCAAAUAUAUCGCCACCAGGAAGUUAUGUUUGCCGAUAUUGCAAAACGCUGAUGUUUCAUACUAAAUUACUAACUCACAUUGUCCUCUGAAAAAUUGUUCGAACUGAUUCCAAGCUCUUCCAGGCGCGUAUGAAUCCAGAACAGAGCAAACAGAACAAUACUAUUUGUUAUAUUGUCGCCUUAUUUCCAGAAAUUCAGCAAAAUCGAGCGGUCUUUGCCGCUCUUAGCAGAAAUUAUUUACUAUUUGUAAUUAAACAACAUUUGCAGGGAAAAGACAAAAGUAAUACGAAAAGUAGUGGUCUAGAGUUUAAUUUCAUUUCUUGUAAAAGACCAAACUUAUAUCAGUACUCGACCACAUGAAACCACAACGUAGACCAUCACAAGAACAUGGAACAGUGAAAAAAACCUGACCAUCAGAGCGGAACCUGGUACACUACAAAUGUAGGAUCUUAAUACCAUAGAUGUGGUGCUUCUACCUCUCAAAUGGAAAUGCAUGUGUGUUAGUGGAUUUGAACAUAUAUGCACUGAAUAGUUUAGAUAUGGCCAGUAGGCACAUCAUAAAACAUGUUGAUCUUGCUUGCCUAGUAGAAGAGCAAGGAAAAACACUUCACAAUAACAAUGUAUACUACCUCCAUUUUUAUUUAUUUGACGCCACUUUAUUCAAUUUUGUACUAACCGGCAACAAAUAACAAUGAAUGGUGGGAGUACCUAUAUAAGCAAUUAUAUCAUGUUUAAUGAUAGACCCAACAAUUGCAUUUGACAUUACUCUUACCCAUAACCUGUACAAUUACACACCUUUUCUUCUCUGUCGUCAAACCUUUGUGUAAGCCUUGAAACGCUUCAUUCUUUAGCAGAGAAUAUUUCAAAUGAUAAAUUUUCCCUGUUACAAGAUCAAGUCAUCUUCCAGCCACCCUUUCAACAAGGAGUUAAUCUGGAACCUAUAACAAUAAAGAAUGGAUUAAAUGCACAAAUUCUACAUUCAUGAAAUCUAGAAAAGGUGAAUAAAUUGUUAUUCACAGUGAUGCUCUUUACUGAUUCUUGGCAGACAAAUAGGGCAUCACUGUGAAUAAUUGUUCAGAUUCAUUUAUUCAGAAAAAAACUAAAAAAGAAUAUAUGCAAGUCAUAUGCCAUACAAGUUACUAAGAUAUGUGAUUGUCCCAACCACUACACCCUGAAUGGCUGAAUCAAACCAGCACAAGUAUGAACUAUUAACAUUUAGGUGCAUAAAAACAAAUUGGUAAUUUUUUAGCAUCACAAAGGUAUUCGGAUGAAUCUUUCCAUUAGGACGGCAACAAACCAGCAGACGAAUUAGCUGGUCAUGGAGUGCCGGCAUUGGCUCCAAUCACCUGGUGCUUUGCUAGAGACCAGAGGCUUCGCUGGUUGGACCACUUCCACUCACACUCACAUCUGAGUUGGUUGCAAUAGGAGCACCUGCUAUGGUUGGGGCCCUCCAUUCUGUCGGACCCGCUUCAGAAGGAAGGCCACAACUAACAUGAAGGUUGAGUCAGAUAAGAAAUCUCUACUGUGGGACUGGUUACCGGUGGCAUGAUGGAAUCCUAUGGCUCUUUGUCAUCCCUGUGCUCCCGGAAGACCUUUCAUGGUGGCGUGGGAGGUGAGGUACCUGAAUGGAGAGGGCAGCCACGACAACACGAUGGAGGUGGCUAUGGAGCUGGCGCUCCUCGAACACGUUCCGCGUGGCGCGGCGCGGCGCGUGUGAUCUCCCUCGCGCUGGACCCCCACAGGGACACCUGCAGAAGCGGAAAAACAAUAGAAAGAUAGAGAGCGAGGGAGGGAGCUACGGAGGGCAAGAUGAAGGAGCCGGGGACUGUCACACACACAAAAAGAUUCUCACCCAACAUGCAGAGCUUCACACGAGUGGCCUUAUCCGCGACACCCCAUGUCUCGAGGGCCCCAUCCCCGAUGAUCCGCUCGGCUGCCGCCUCGAGCAGCAACAGCCCAAUCGUGCCCCACUCAUUGACGAUGCCCCCAUACCCGUACAAAUCGUCCUCUUCGCAAGAGGCGUCGUGGCGCUGGUGACUGGGAGGCCACAUAGGGGGCGAUGAAUGUUGCAUGGAAGAAGUCGCAUGGAGUAAUCGGGGAGUCAGAGUCAAGCAUCAGAGGAGGAGCCGCGGCGGUGGGUGCAUGUGACGAUAGAUAACCGCAGUGUGCCCGCUGCACGAAAUCGCAAAAUCGUGAGGUUGUUACUUUGUUAGAGGGGUAGGGUGAGACUCUAGUCCAGGACGGGAUCGAGGCGGCGGCGGCGGCGAGGAGGAGGAAGAGGAGCUGGAUGGAUACCUGCGGGGGGCGGGACGGUCGCCCCCGAAGUCGGAGGAGUCGGCCCUCACCCAGUGCAUCUGCUUCGGUUGCAGCUGCUGCAUCCUUUCCCUCGUCUCCUUGUCCUCGCUCCAACUCCCCAGUCUACGCGCCUCUCUUCGUGAAGGAACUGGACACGGCUGCGACCGGGAGGAUGAGCCCUGUACCGGCGGCUGGAUGGCGGCCGGGGGCGGCGAGCGGUGGACGGCGGGGAGUCUGGCAGGUGGGGGAGAGGGGAUCGAAUGAAGCAGAGAAGUCAGAGCAGGAGGAUGGAAACAGUAGCGCCCCACGGUCAGCCCAAACGAAACGACCACGACCGGAGACACACGCGCGACCUCGCCCACCCUGCCUCCCACGAUGGGCGCCAUCAGCGGCGAGAUGGAUGGGAGCGCGGGGUCGCCGCGGGAUGCAGGGAAGGAAGUCGGCGCGGUUGAGGGCGGGAUGCAGGGAAGACGGCGCGGGCGGGGGCGGGAUUGCAGGAAGGAAGACAGCGUGGGCGGGGGCUGGAACGGGGGCACGGUCAGGUUGGUGGACGCCCUUGCUCCAGCCUUAAGGUGUAGUAGAGAUACAUAACUUCCUUCUAAUGAAUUAGAUAAUUUGUUCCUACCAUAGAAUUAAAGAUAAUUAAUAGGUUAAUUAUCCUUUAUCAUAAUGUAUUAAUCAAACCUAUAGUCAAUUUGUUCUUAAUUAGAUUUAUGGCGUGAUUAAUGAUUUCAUAAAAUUUAGUCCACAUUAUAUACGAAUCACUUAGCUUUUCCUAAAGGAUAAAAUAAAGUAAUAAGAGUUUAAGUUCUUUUAUAACUUAAAAUGUUACUUUAUAUAUGAACUUCAAACAUAAUAAUAUAGGCUAUGUGUUUUCUAAUGAAAAUAAAAUAUAAUUGUUUGUUCAUUGUCUUUUACAUAAAAGUUCAUUUAAGGCAUAUAUCAUAACUUUUCAUAAAAUAGGUGUUUAAUAAUAAUGAUCUUUUCACAUAAAACCUAUUUAGACUUGUAUCUUAGUUUAUCAUAAGUGAAUGUUUAACAAUGAUUUAUAAGAUGUUCCAUAAUGCUUCUAAAAUUAAUAACGUGUUUCGUAGCCCAUUAACCUUAGAUAUAUAACAUAUAUCUUUUCUAAAAGGUUAAAAAGGUUUAAUAUUGUUAUAACGUGUUUUAUCAUCUUAUAAACCCUUAAUAUUAGACAUAUCACGUAUGACGUUUUAUAAAAGAUUAAUUUGUUGAACCUAAUAUUUGUAUAUUUUAAUUAAGAUAUUUUUAAGCUCAUGUCUUGUUUUAUAAAGUAUAGAUCACACAUUUUUAAAAAGAAUACCUAAUUAUAACCAUUACUUGCGAUGUUUUUGAAAAGCGAACACUCUUUUCGUUAGGAUUUCUUUUAGCUUUACGUAUGGUGAAUGUUGUAUGUUAUUGAGUGGUGUUUGUUCUUCUUGUUUGUUUGUGUGAUAUUCAGUGGUUGAUCUAGUAGUUAAGAAUCAAGAUCUAUUCCUAUCCGUGGAAGAACCUCAAGUUUUCAAUAAGCAAGGCAAGUGGACUUCUCCCUCUGCAUAUUCUAUUUGAUCCCAAACAAUACAUUUAAUAAAGUUUAUUCUUGGAUAUAUAUGCAUAAUUUGAUGGGUUACCUAUUCAGAUACACCUAACCUUUCCAACCUUAUUCCUUGUUUAACCUGGGUUAUGAUUUAAUCUAGUAGCUAUGCUAUUGCUACAACUUUAACUAUAUGAUGUUACUCCUAAUGAUGAUAUAAAUGUUCCAAAUGGUAAGUUACAUUAUUGUUAUUAAUCCGAUGAUUAAGCAAGAUCAUACUGUGAUAAUUGGAACAUGGAGUGACCACCAGGGAAAAUAGUGCAAUUACGAAUUCUAUCAUGGCUCUGGCUUUGGUAAUUAGCUUUAUAUGCUUAGUGCCUAGCAACCUUACCUGAAAUAUGGGCAAGAGGGGGGAGCGGUGGUGGUGGCAGCCCACAUUAACAUGGGGACGUAUUCUUGGCUAAGGUACCUCACCCAGGGGGCCUCCUGUAACACCCCACUGGUCCCACACAUUGGAUGUUACCAAAUACCCUUCCCACUAAACUUAUGCAACACAAGAAAUGGAAUAGAUAGAGAAAGUAUUGCAAAAUCUGGCAGCACCUCCCUUGAAAGAAGCAUAACAGGGGGGGAACAUGGAGUUCAUACAGGAUAUAAAAGACAGAUAAUUCACGUAGUAGAAUCUAAAUGCAAAAGUGGUGAAACACGUUCAUGACCAAAUAAAAGGAUAGGUAACUCAGCCCACCCCAAAAAUAGCUCAACCACCAUGAAAAGCUAGAACAUAUUAAUUCCCUAGACUUGACCCUCCCUGAUUAACAACAUUAUUAAGCAGUGGUUCCUUUAUUAAAGGUGUAGUGGCCGUGCUGCUACAUCCCUCUUUUCCCAAAGCAGAAAUCAGGUGCCUGCAUUAAACAAUGCAAGAGUGAGAUGACACAUCUCAGCAAGUAAACAGAGCAAACCACAAUUGGACAAUGUAAACCAACUGUGCUUAAACAACCACGUAGUUCAAAACUUCCUUCUUGAAUAAUAAUUUGCAGCAAGUAAGAAAGUAACUAAUUACUUAACACCAAGAAGAGUCACAAUGUAAAAAUCCACACUAUCCACAUCCACAUAAUAAAUUCCACACCUCUCCCAUGAAUGCACAGGGCUACAGAUGCAGUAAUGACUUCUGUCUUCAUAUCUCCGAGGAUAUGAAGCUGCAUCAUACCCCUUCUCGGGCAACAUAUGAUGCUCAAUGUACGGUCGGACCAUAAGAUCACGACGAACUUCCUU